CUGCAGACCUAGCUGCGGUGUGCUCAUCAAACUCUUACACUUGUUCCUGUUCUGGCACAGCAGGAAGUAGGCUAGGAGAUAUGGAUGCUUCAGUGUGGCAGGGGGCUGGAAGAGGCUCUUAAGUCUGCUAGGAAAAUGUUCCUGCCUGUCUUGUUCAUAGCUGCUCAGUUAUGUGGCCAGAAGACACUCCUCAUAAGAGAAAAAGCUAAAAGACAUUUGGAGCUUCCAAACACUUUUGCAGACGUGCUGGAAGUGACAUUCAUGCCAAGUUAUUGAAUGUAAAAGCAGUGCAGUGUGAUCCAGGGUUGUGACUCGAAGGUUUCAACUGCCAGAAAAGUGGAAAAAGCCCGAAGCAAG
rnacentral:lncRNA from 1 species